CCUACGGGAGGCAGCAGUGGGGAAUAUUGCACAAUGGGGGAAACCCUGAUGCAGCGACGCCGCGUGAGUGAAGAAGUCCUUCUGUAUGUAAAGCUUUUUUUGUAGGGAAGAAAAUGACGGUACUUCCAAAGUACUCGCCGGCUACAUCCGGGCCAGCAGCCGCGGCAAUCUGGAGGGCGCGAGCGUUAAUCGGAAUUACUGGGCGUAAAGCGUGCGUAGGCUGUUGUGUAAGUUGGGGGUGAAAUCCCACGGCUCAACCGUGGAACAGCCUUUGAUACUGGGGGACUUGAGUGCGGGAGAGGGAGGCGGAAUUCGAGGUGUAGGGGUGAAAUGCGUAGAUAUCUGGAGGAACAUCAGUGGCGAAGGCGGCCACCUGGACCGGAAUUGACGCUGAGGCGCGAAAGCGUGGGGAGCAAACAGGAUUAGAUACCCGGGUAGUC
rnacentral:rRNA from 1 species